rnacentral:misc_RNA from 1 species
AAGUCGUAACAAGGUUUCCGUAGGUGAACCUGCGGAAGGAUCAUUAUCGAAUGAACAACGGGGAUCGGUUGUCGCUGGCUUCUUCACAGAGGCAUGUGCACGCCUUUCUCUGUUUCAUCCACACACACCUGUGAACUUGUGAGACGGAUAGUAGCUCCCGCUGAUUUAUUAAUUUAUUUCGGUGGGGACGAGGUCCGUCUGUCAAUACAUAAACUCCAAUCAAUUAAAUCUGAAUGUAAUCCGAUGUAACACAUCUUUAAAACUAAGUUUCAACAACGGAUCUCUUGGCUCUC